UACGGGGGGGGGCAAGCGUUGUUCGGAAUUACUGGGCGUAAAGGGCUCGUAGGUGGCCAACUAAGUCAGACGUGAAAAUCCCUCGGCUUAACCGGGGAACUGCGUCUGAUACUGGAUGGCUUGAGUUCGGGGAGAGGGAUGCGGAAUUCCAGGUGUAGCGGUGAAAUGCGUAGAGAUGUGGAGGAACACCGAUGGCGGAAGGCAGCCCCCUGGGUCAAGAUUGACGCUCAUGACACGAAAGCGUGGGGAGCGAAACAGG
rnacentral:rRNA from 1 species